UCCAACUUGAGAGUUUGAUCCUGGCUCAGAGCGAACGCUGGCGGCAGGCUUAACACAUGCAAGUCGAGCGGGCGUAGCAAUACGUCAGCGGCAGACGGGUGAGUAACGCGUGGGAACGUACCUUUUGGU
rnacentral:rRNA from 1 species